AUGGCCUUAGUGCCCUUACAAAAGAGGCUCCGGAGUGAUUCUUUGCCUCUAUUACGAGCUGAAGACACAGCAAGAAGGGAUCUUUUAAGAGGAAUUGGCCUUACCAGACACCAAAUCCACCAGUUCCUCGAUCUUGAGGUCCCCAGCUUUCAGAACUGAAUUACUACUCAAGGGACAAUCAGAAAGGGUCAAGGAAAGCUAUUUUUUUCUUCCCACGAUUUGAAAAUACAUCUUCUUUCGUAUGAAGAAAAGGAUGUGGUGAGUGUGUGUGUGUGUGUGUGUGUGUUUAUACACACAUAUAUGUAUAAGAUAAAAGGUAAAUGGUGGUAAAGUCACUCUAUUCCAUUAAAAUUAUUGCCACACUGCUUGGGCAAGAUUGUAUGUCUCCUGCAUUGACCUGAGGAGUGUCUUUCCAAGUAGAGUGAUUCUAUUUUUUAAAACCUGGCACACCACGGCCUUCAAUAAGUCUUAUUAGAGUAAUGGAUGGAUAUAUGAAUUGAUGAGAAUACUUGAAACAUUAUAUGAUUGUUAAAGAGAUUUCUAAAAGCAAAUCACAGAAAAUCUGUUUCCUUGAGUGGUUUUAAAGAUUUAAAAUUGAUUUCCCAAUAAAUGGGUGGUUCAAAAUAUUCA
rnacentral:lncRNA from 13 species